UACGGAGGGUGCAAGCGUUAUCCGGAAUUACUGGGUUUAAAGGGUCCGCAGGCGGGCAUAUAAGUCAGUGGUGAAAUCCUACGGCUCAACCGUAGAACUGCCAUUGAUACUGUAUGUCUUGAGUAAGGUGGAAGUUGGCGGAAUACAGCAUGUAGCGGUGAAAUGCGUAGAUAUGCUGUAGAACACCGAUUGCGAAGGCAGCUGACUAUACCUUUACUGACGCUGAGGGACGAAAGCGUGGGGAGCGAACAGG
rnacentral:rRNA from 1 species